rnacentral:lncRNA from 1 species
UGCUUCACUUUCAUGUCCAGAGCUGCUUAGACUGAUUUCUGCAAAGUGCACAGGCAUUUUCAUGCUGAGGAUAAAGGACCAUGAUCGCUUGUCUGGACCCAGAAAAUAUUUCCCAUUUGCUACACAGAUGCCGUCUCAUCCUUCCAGAGUUCAAGACUUCAGCAGAAAAAAAAAUCACCUCAUUAAAGGAAAAUUGUGCCUUAUCCCCACUACUCGAAGAUGCAACCAUCUGCCUGGUCACAGCCACUUUUUUCCUUUUUUUCUCACUCCAUCGUAUGUGUGUGUGGUGGGGCAGGGGAUAAGGGGAAUAAUCUCUCUCCAGUAUAAGAAGGUAAUGAUUCAAAGAUUUAAAUGCUAAACUUCUGGGACUUCGGGACUUACUAUAAAACUAGAUAAGAUCAACAACAACAAAAACAAUGCUUUCUAUUGAAAUUUGUACAGUUUUGCAAGUUCAUUUCUGCUCUUCGUCUGUUGAAGCAUCAAUAAAGUCCAAGAAAAAUACUGGGAAUCAGAUUCAUGCCCAAAGUGACCCUGUGGCAGUUGAGGAUUGACUGGGCUAGAAGACCAAAGUUUAAAGCGCAAGUUAAUCUGAGACAGAGAAAUGAAAGAGAAGAUGAGAAAGAAAAGUGGCCUCAAAAUAAGAGGAACUAGGGUCCUGGCUCAGAGGCUCAUGCCUGUAAUUCCAUCACUUUGGGAGGCCGAGGUGGGCAGAUCACCCGAGGUCAGGAGUUCCAGACCAGCCUGGCCAACAUGGUGAAACCCCGUAUCUACUAAAAAUACAAAAAUUAGCUGGGCAUGGGGGCGCCUUAAUCCCAGCUACUUGGGAGUCAGAGACAGGAGAAUCAUUUGAAUCUGGAGGUGGAAGUUGCAGUGAGCCAAGAUCCCAGCCAUUGCACUCAAGCCUGGGGGACAAGAGCAAGACUUAUCUCAAAAAAAAAAAAAAAAAAGGAACUAGGACACAAGCAAGAACAGAAGUAGGAUAUGCAAAUGCUUUCUUUGAAAGCUGGGGGCAGGUGAAUGGCUUUCCUGUACUGCUAUAAAGGUACAAAAUGGAGGCAGGCACUCUUUAGAGAGGUUUAGUUUGAAAAUAAGAUUUUCAAACUUUACCCCCAAUGAAGUACAACUAGCCUUAAAUUCCACCCCACCCACCACCUCCACAAAAAAAGAAAAAAUAAAAAGAAAAUAUCUAUCAAAAAGCAUUAGUCAUGGAAAGGACUUAAUCUUGAAAAUGAAAGCAACAAAGUUGUUAAAUGUAGACAGACACUAAGCUGCUUACAACAAUAUUUGCUUACAUUAUAGCAUCUAAUAUAAGAUGUUAUUUGCUCAUUGUUUAUUAUGUACUCCAUGCUCUCACAAGAAGCUUAGCUUUGAUUUUUUUCUUAAUUUUGGUGGCUUAAAUUUGAAAAUUUAACUUUGCAUUAAAGGAGGGUUUUUAUUUAAUUAAAGAAUGUAUUCUGGAGCUUGAUUACAAAUUAAAAUCCAACAUUUGCUUAAC